UACGGGGGGGGGCAAGCGUUGUUCGGAAUUACUGGGCGUAAAGGGCUCGUAGGCGGCCAACUAAGUCAGACGUGAAAUCCCUCGGCUUAACCGGGGAACUGCGUCUGAUACUGGAUGGCUAGAGGUUGGGAGAGGGAUGCGGAAUUCCAGGUGUAGCGGUGAAAUGCGUAGAUAUCUGGAGGAACACCGGUGGCGAAGGCGGCAUCCUGGACCAAUUCUGACGCUGAGGAGCGAAAGCCAGGGGGAGCAAACGGGG
rnacentral:rRNA from 1 species